GAGAAAUAUCAAGACUACUUUCUCCAAAGAAAUCUGGAUUGAAAAUCAGAACACAGUGAAAAUGACUUAGAGAAAAUAAUGCCACAGAUAUAUCUAAAAUGUGAAUGAAGCUGGAAGCAGCAGAGGACCACACACCAUGAAAUGUAAACAGAGGAGAAAAAAGCUAGAUGCCAGACAGGAAGAGAAGAACCAGAAGAGCAGUCUCUACAAAUAGAGCAACACUAAUACUCCAAGAAGAUGGGCCAUGCUUAUCCUGAGUGUGCUCCCCAAAGAUGCCAGUCAGAAGCCGACAGUAUGGAAUGAAGGGCAGC